CUGAUUUACAGAUUUGCCAUUUACUGGAUUCCUUGUGAAUAACCAAGGAUAUUCUUUGCAAGUUCAGACAUGAUACAAGCACACAUGCACAGGAAAACCAAAGUCCACCGGUUACUUUUUGAUCCUUUCCAUUUUUUGUCCUUUCUGAAGAAGCUGGAAUCCGUGUGAGUCUCAGACUUUAUCCAGAAAUGAGUUCAUACACUGUGAGAGGACUCUUCACAAUCCUCAGCUCCUGAAUGUCUGAUGCUUCACAGCAUUUCUUGCAUAAUUCAUAUUAAAAGCAGAGUUACCAGCAGGGCAGUCAAGUGAGAAGCAUAUAAUGGCCUGUGAUCAUCAGACACAGCUUCCAGGGAACGGAAGCCAUAGGUUCAGCUUCUUGUAGUAGUAGCCAGAGGGAGCUGUUUGGAGACUUCUCCCAGGAGCUGACUUAGCGUAUCCUUCUUUUUGCCACACAGGACACCAAAGGGCACCCCUUCUGUCCCGUCUUCCAAAGGUAUACAGCAGCAAAUAGCAGCAAGUUUCGGUCAGCAUGUUGGCUGUUUGACAUGAGUAGCCAUGCUUACAGAAGUGACAUGUUCUUUUAUGGUUACAUCUGGGGGUACACGAGAGAGUCUCCUGACAUGCCAGUAACCUUAUUCACAGUCUGGAAAGUUCCACAGAGGAAGAAUGUAUACUAUUAAGUACAGCAGCCCUGUAAACCAGGAGACAUCAAUUAUUGCUUUGCAAAUGAUGUGCUGCGCUUCCUCGGGCAAAUCACUUUUAGGUGCUUUUUCCCCUCAUAUUCCCUCCAUCUACCUUGUAUAAAUCAGCCUCCAUCUCUUCUGAGCAGGGGAAAGUCUCCUUCCAUGGUCUAAGGACACUGACUGAGUCUGAGCCCAUUCACCAAAGUCCUUCCUCGUCCGGGAUCUCAAAUCUUUUCCUUUUUUUUUUUUUCCUUUUAUUUUUUUUCCCCUUUCUCUUUCCUCCUUGUGGAUCAGCCAGUCCCGACAUCAUUAAACUAUAGUCCUCCUCUUCCUCCUCCUUCCUUCUCCCCCUCGCUGUCUCCCCCCUCUUUUCUUUCUAUUUUUUUUUAUUUCAAAAAGGGGGAGCUGGGGAGGGGGGGUGUAGACAUAGCUGCAUGAAGUGGC
rnacentral:lncRNA from 1 species